GACGAACGCUGGCGGCGUGCUUAACACAUGCAAGUCGAACGGAAAGGCCCUGCUUUUGUGGGGUGCUCGAGUGGCGAACGGGUGAGUAACACGUGAGUAACCUGCCCUUGACUUUGGGAUAACUUCAGGAAACUGGGGCUAAUACCGGAUAGCAGCUCCUGCUGCAUGGUGGGGGUUGGAAAGUUUCGGCGGUUGGGGAUGGACUCGCGGCUUAUCAGCUUGUUGGUGGGGUAGUGGCUUACCAAGGCUUUGACGGGUAGCCGGCCUGAGAGGGUGACCAGCCACAUUGGGACUGCGAUACGGCCCAGACUCCUACGGGAGGCAGCAGUGGGGAAUAUUGCACAAUGGGCGGAAGCCUGAUGCAGCAACGCCGCGUGCGGGAUGACGGCCUUCGGGUUGUAAACCGCUUUCGCCUGUGACGAAGCGUGAGUGACGGUAAUGGGUAAAGAAGCACCGGCUAACUACGUG
rnacentral:rRNA from 1 species